GCUGCUCUGCAGUAGAAAGCUCUUGGAAAACGGCGACGAGUUCAAGGGGGUGGGGUGUACCCGCCAAAUGAAUCAACAGCUUUGGGCUUUGCCUUUCCUUUCCUUUGGCAGUUUCCUCGUCCAGACACUGAGAGCAAUUGGUGUCACACAGGUGAAGCAGUGGCUGCUGGACUGUGGAUCAUUUUCUGGCUGAGCAUUGAAAGAUGUUGAAAGAGGAUGCUAAGCUUAAUGCAGCUUUAGGGUCCAAUCUUGACACCACCGACUGAAGAACCAACUCUGGACUGGGCACAAGGUAACACAUGGUCACAGAACAGGCCAUUGCACAGUCACUAACUAACUUAAAAUGUGCAGCUUUGGGAUUUGGCUGGAAAAAAACGAAUAACCAAAUGGGAAACAACCAUAAUGUGAAUUCCAGCUAGGCAGAGACUGAGUGCAGGAUACAAAGUCCAAAUUUGGGAGCUCUGAGGUCAAAGCGCUCUAAAUGCCACACUUUAGAUUAGUUAACUGCAAAUCUGUACCAUGACAUGGAGAACAACAUGGACUGGGAACUCCACACAUCCAGACAUCAUACUUAAUUUGUGAGGCACUGACUGCUCAUUUGACAAGAUAUAGAAAAUGGGGAGAUACAGUCAGAUGAAUCUUCUUUCAUUUUGCUCUUGGCAGUUGUGACACAGAUUUAAGUGAUGGUUUGGGUGCACACAUUUCAAACAAAUCAAAGCACACUGGUACUUAAAAGUGCCGACUGAUUGAGCUUCUUCAUUGAACACCCACUGUUUUAAUGCUCUCCACAUUUCAUUGGCCUCUCAGCCUCCAGAUCUGAACUCCACUGCUACUUCUGAAAGAAUGGGACAAAAACUGAGAGAAUGGGCAAGGUGAUUGACUUUCUUGUGGCACUGUAUCAAACAAUUCCAGAUGUUGGCCAGUUUUAGGUGCCACUGCAUACUGGUUGGUGUUGUAAUUUCCCCCCCUUAAUAAAUUAAAGGUGCAUUGUGAGGUACAGCAGGGCAGGCAGCACAGAAUAAUAGGAAACUCAAUUUCAGUGAUAACAAAGCAGAGCUGCAGGAAGCAGCUGUGAGAUGAAGAGCGGCCACCUCCAUGUGACGGCUGACUUCCAUAUGAGCUCAUCUCCAGUGUUCAUUCCCUUCCAAUAACCAUAAACAGCCAUCACUUUACCACUUGAUUAGUGGAGUGGUGGCACAGAGUGGCCAGUCGAGUGAGAGCACCACGCGUUAGCAGUAAACAGAGUGGCUCUUAUCCUUCAUUUGAAUAUCACUUUAUUCAAAUAUACUCCUGUGUACGGGGGAGCGCAUUGCUAUUAACUAGCCGGUGGUUAGCAUUAUGCAAUCCACUUUUACAGUCAUUCCUGAAUUCAUCAGAGUUGAUGAACACAACAAACCUUUUAGCACAAUAUUUUAACAACUUGGCAUUAAUAGUGUUUCAGACCUUUUGAGAAGAAGAUGCGUCACCCAUUUUUCUAUGCAAGAUUUCACAAAGUAGUUUGAGUUGCUUGGAUUGUCCUAAGUGGAUUUUUAUAAUUUGAUUUACACCGUAUAUAAUGUGAUUAGUAAAAUAAAAAUUCAUUGUAACAAUACACUUUUGUACAAAACCACUCCAAAUCUGCAGAUAAUUGACAAAUAAGUGUAGUCUGCAGAAGACCACAAGGGUGGCACAAAUGAAGUUAGAUUAUCAUAUUCGCAUUAAAUCUACACUUAAAAGCACUACAGGUACAUUAAGUAAUUGUUUUUAGCACAAAUAAAUUCACAUGGGAUGGGCGAGCCAAAUUUCCAUUCAUUCAACAAUAGACUGCAGCUCUACACAAGGGGCUCAGGGGCCCACAAACCACUGGGGGUUCAAGUCUGCCUUGGGUUCUUGAUAUUUACACAGAAAUCGGUGGUCAGAUGCAACGAACAAACCAAAAGACAAACUUCCCCCUGCUUCACCAACGAGGUCCAGUACAUUGAGGUCAGUGCCGCAGUCACAGCCCCAAACCGUUGAUAUUCCUUUUAUAUUUUUAUUCACAGCACCAUUUUGGGAUGCUACCUGAAUAUAUGGAUUUCAAAUGCAUAUUGCACUUUGAGUAGUUACUGAACCAAAAAUGUCACUAUGUAACAUCAUAUGAUUUUUUAGAUCACUUUUCAAAAACAGUAAAUAAUGCAUUUUCAUGUUGGCUAAUCAUCAAUUUUCGUCAAGAAACAAGACAGGUUUUUGUUCGCUUUUGCCUUUUCAGCUAUGAACGAGCAUCAUUUCUGUUUAGGGCCAUUCUCUGUAAGAAGCUGGAAAGCCUGCUGAACAUAUGGAAGAGACACGUGAAAAUCCAGAAUGUGCAGUGCUGCCGUCUUCCUGAAGCUGCUAACCAUUCCAA